rfam:Colletotrichum orbiculare MAFF 240422 contig08722, whole genome shotgun sequence.
AGCACGGUAGCUCAGGGGUAGAGCGCUGGGCUCAUAACCCAGAGGUCCUCCGAUCGAAACGGAGUCGUGCUA